UCUGUCCUAAAACAAAACCAAAUCUGGAAGGAGUAGAAUUUUCUACCGGGACUUGGUAACACUUCAUGGACAAGGAGGAUGUGACUCAUGCUGCUCACGACUGCUGGAACCUAUAACCUCCUUUUCUCUUGGACUGGUACAAUUAUCUUCACUUUGGAAGAAGAAACAGAGACAUUUUUAACAUUAGAGAGACUUCAUAAGUACUGCCUGAAAAUUAUGGCUGUUCGCUCUCUAUGGACUAUUAACCUUGAUUGUAUGUCAACCAUAUAUUUUGUCUGAAUUUCUUACGCAAAUGAAUCUCACAUAUUGUUUUAUAUUGCUGUUAGUACUGCUGUGUGCCUCAGAGGCUUUAAUAAAACAUACC